CCUUAAUAGGUGGAGAAUACAGUGGUGCCUUGUACAGUGGCCGACAGGGGCAAAUGCGCUGCAAACGGCCAGGCUAUCCAGAAGGCACAUUCAUUUGCUAUUCAGAGUUCUCACCACCUGGUUCAUUGGAUAUGUUUGGUUGAACUUAGGGCAUGUCUUUGAUUUUGAAGUGCUGCUUAAUGUUAAUAAAGCCAUGGUCUCACAACAUAUGAGACGCAACUGUUUUUAGCUGGCUUCUGGAAGAAUAGAAAAGUACUGGUCCAUCCAUUCCUUUUGAACAGGCAAUACAGCGCCCCGCUUCUUUUAAGUCCACAGGUCUCUUUCGGUAAACAAACGAUUUGAUUGGCUCAUUAUGGUCACGUGAUCACAAGAAGUACCAUAAUACUGAAUAUAGACGGUCUGUUACAGCGGCAUUCGUGAGGAAAAAAUGGCCGCGUGACAGUACAGAUACCUGAAAAAUCUACCCAAGUACAGUGAUGAAAUACUUGUACUUCAUUACUUGACACCUCGCUCAUGUAUAUCCGUAUGUCAGUAUUAUACUGCCCCCAGGUGGCCAAGGUGCGCACACCAGAAGGAGCACCACAAUGUCCCUUGAAUUGAAGAAAAAAAUGUGGCAAAAACUGUUUCAUUCUUUACAUUUUAUUGAAUCAUGUCAUUUUUCAAUUGUUUUAAGUAUGAUAUUAUAGAAUGCUAUAUUUCUUAUUAAAAAAGCAGUUUAUUAUUAUUAUUUUUUAUAUAUGCUGGAUCAAAUGAAUGGCAUUUCCAUUAAUUUCUGUGGUGAAUGAUGAUUUAAGAUAUGAGCAUGUUUCAUUGCAGUAGCUACAAAAUUCAUACAAAUCAUUGCCAGUAACGAUUUUACACUAUCUCUAUCACUUUUGUUUACAUGCAAUGUCUCAAUACAAGUAACUACCUACCUGGUUACCUUGGCAAUAGUAAGCAACAGCUGGAAAUCUGUUCAGUUUGGUCAGUCACUGCCUCAAACUACAGUACAUACAAACUAUUCCUAUUAUGUCUCGAUGAAAAAUAAAAUGUCUACACUCUAAACAUACAUUCAUGGAUAUGAGUGGAGCCAGGUAAACACCAACAUACAGGGUGCUCAUUAAUUCUCAUUACAGUUUUAAAAUGUCAUUACAAAGAACCAUGAUACACAUUGUGCCUUCUCUUGAGGAAUAGCCAUUUCUUAGGGAUUCAUUCGAAAGGACGCCACUUCAAUCAACAGGAUGCCUGAAACACAAUAAUGCAAAGCGAUUAAAAACUUGGAUAACCACUGUGUACAGUGGAACAAGUCAAAUGAAUCCGGUCACAACAAGGCGCUCUGUGUCACUUCCAAAUUCCAAGAAUCAUCACAAACCUCUAAGGAUAAAAGCGCGACAGCAUUGCAAGAGAAAGAAAUGGGAGAAAGAAGAAGUAGAUGCCGUUGAAAGGCAUU